rnacentral:lncRNA from 1 species
UAUCUGUGGUUGGCUGACGCAUUACUGAGGUGGAUACAAAGCCUCACAGCGGAGGACCUCAGCCUGUUGAUUAGGGAGAUGUGAAUUCAGUUCCCAAGUUAGCAUUUGGACUUAGACCUGCAUUGCAUGAGGUGAUUGAUGUACGUGGAGCGGUAGCCUGGAACGUAAAACCUUAACGUUUCUUCAGCUGUUUGCUUCUAAUGGCUGUUCAGGCACAAAUUUCCUCCUUCAGCUACUUGGUUCUUCACAGCUUUAGUAGAAGAGAGCAGAAGAGCAACCCACCUGAGCAACACUUUGAGCUGAAGUGCCUACACAGACUGCAGAAGUUCAGAUAUGAUUUCUAUGCCUACUCUAUCAGCUGAGAAGGGAUAUGCUGAUGCAGGGGCAGCUGCAUAAUCCACAUCUCCAUGUGACCAGAGUUACCAGGCAGCCCUGAAGCUCAACUACAUGCCAUGCUCAGAUCUGUCUGGCCAUGACCUAGGAGGACUGAUGGGGAAUCAUUCUCCUCUUCAACCUCAAAUACUUUUGGACUGCUCCCAUUUCAUUGUUUCUCAUACACCUUGCAACAUGAAAGUUUUGUUAUGAAGCUUACAAGGCUGGGCAUUUUGUCCUGCUCUUUUAUGGUGCUGUUUAUUUUCUCAUUAUCCAUAUAGAUCUAAUGCCUUCUGGAUAUAUAGAUCUUAUGUUUUCAGUCUUCUUAAUUUCUUGUUGGAGGAGGAGUUGUAGUUUGUAAUAGUUCUCUGUAGGUACUGGGGUUGAUUCUGCUCUCAAGGCAGUAUAAAUUGGGAGAAAUUGAGUUGACAUCAGGAGAAUUAUCCAUAAUCACACUUGAACUUGCAAAGUGACUUCUCAUGUGAUUGAAGCACUUAUGCAGAAUGUUUUAAACAUGUUCAAAUGCAGCCCUCGGACUUGGCUCAAAGGUGAAUUUUUUGGAAAGUUUGAGCAAAAACACUUCAUCUGUAUGUGCCUGUGAGGAGAGUGGAAAACUAUUUUUCCCUUCUGUAAAGCCUUUUUGCUGCCUCCUUUUGAACAGUUCUGCAGCAGAGUGGCUGAAGCCUGCGUGCUGAGAUUUGGCACUGAAACGGCUGUAACUGUAAAACGUCUUGGUUUUGGCUUUUCUUUGACCGAGUUAAGAGCCUUA